AGUGGUUUUCAACAGUUCAACAGUUCUUUAUUAACAUUGUGAAAUGUUUAGGACCACUUG
rnacentral:pre_miRNA from 1 species